UACGAAGGGUGCAAGCGUUACUCGGAAUUACUGGGCGUAAAGGGUGCGCAGGCGGUUGUGUGUGUCAGGUGUGAAAGCCCGGGGCUUAACCCCGGAAUUGCGCCUGAAACUACAUGACUAGAGCAUUGGAGAGGGUAGCGGAAUUCACGGUGUAGCAGUGAAAUGCGUAGAUAUCGUGAGGAACACCAGAGGCGAAGGCGGCUACCUGGACAAUUGCUGACGCUCAGGCACGAAAGCGUGGGGAGCAAAAGGG
rnacentral:rRNA from 1 species